rnacentral:misc_RNA from 1 species
UUGAUUCAUUUUUCUUGUGAGACUCAGAGGAUGCCACUAUGGUUUAAACAAGGGUUUGGGUCCUCCGGCGGGCGCCUGGUUCCGGGCCGCAGUGGGCGCCGGGGCGGUCCCGCCGAGGCAACGUUCGGGUAUGUUCACAGGGGUUUGGGAGUUGAUAACUCGGUAAUGAUCCCUCCGCUGGUUCACCAACGGAGA